rnacentral:rRNA from 1 species
UUGCCAGUUGCUACCAGGUAAUGCUGGGCACUCUGGUGAGACUGCCCCGGUUAACGGGGAGGAAGGUGGGGACGACGUCAGUCAUCAUGGCCCUUACGCCUAGGGCUACACACGUACUACAAUGGCGCAUACAAAGGGCAGCGAUACCGCGAGGUGGAGCCAAUCCCAAAAAGUGCGUCCCAGUCCGGAUUGCAGUCUGCAACUCGACUGCAUGAAGUUGGAAUCGCUAGUAAUUCGAGAUCAGCAUGCUCGGGUGAAUGCGUUCCCGGGCCUU